rnacentral:ncRNA from 1 species
GAUCCGUAACUUCGGGAAAAGGAUUGGCUCUGAGGGCUGGGCACGGGGGUCCCAGUCCUGAACUCGUCGGCUGUCAGUGGACUGCUCGAGUUGCUCCCGCGGCGAGAGCGGGUCGCCGCGUGCCGGCCGGGGGAUGGACUGGGAACGGUUCCUUUGAGGGCCUUCCCCGCGCGUCGAACAACCAACUCAGAACUGGUAC